rnacentral:lncRNA from 7 species
GCUCCUAAGGGAAAGGAAAAGAAUUGAAUACCUGCCAGGGGAAGGAUUUAAGUUGACAAUUUGGAUGAAUCUCUGAAUUGAAGUACUGGCCAGAUUCAUAAGGCUUCCAUCCCACCCUUUGCUGCUCUCUUAAAAAGAUGCUGAAAGAGCUAUUGUUAGGAAACAAAAAUCCUGUGCUACAGAAGGAUACAAUGCACAAAUUCAAAACAAAUGCUCCUUUCCAUCAAAUCCAUUCAGAUUCUGUGGCAUGUGCUGUCACCAACGGCAAUCAGGGUUUUGAUUACGUUAUUAAGAUGUCAUGCUCUCCUGUCUGUUAGGGAAAAAUGGGUAAAAAUUGUUAGCUGUUCUUUCCAUCAGACUGGACACUCUUUGUCUUUCGCAGACACUUGACUUCGACAGGUCUUUAAAUAAACGCAGUUGGUGUUCACUUCUGGUUAUGAACUGCCAACUUGUGUUUUUGCAGUUGUUUUUUGUAACAUUUUGUCAUAACACCAUACCAGUUUUCACACUAUGGUAUACAAUCACUCCUUCUCUGUCUCCAAAUAGUUAUUAUUUUUAGAAAGGCAUUCAAAAAAUUUCUUCAGAAAUUAUGCUUAGAGUCAAUAACUCUUCUUAUUAGCUGAUGUGGUUAUCAAAAUUAGUGUCAUGAGUAAUAGCAGCCUUAGAACUGAAAGAAAUGCUCUGGAAAGUGUUUGAUGUUUUUAUGUAUUCAGUGUAAUUUAUUGUAAAUACAGAACUUCAUAAUAUAUUAAUG